AGUGAACGCUGGCGGUAGGCCUAACACAUGCCAGUCGAACGGCAGCACAGUAAGAGCUUGCUCUUACGGGUGGCGAGUGGCGGACGGGUGAGGAAUACAUCGGAAUCUACUUUUUCGUGGGGGAUAACGUAGGGAAACUUACGCUAAUACCGCAUACGACCUACGGGUGAAAGCAGGGGAUCUUCGGACCUUGCGCGAUUGAAUGAGCCGAUGUCGGAUUAGCUAGUUGGCGGGGUAAAGGCCCACCAAGGCGACGAUCCGUAGCUGGUCUGAGAGGAUGAUCAGCCACACUGGAACUGAGACACGGUCCAGACUCCUACGGGAGGCAGCAGUGGGGAAUAUUGGCCAAUGGGCGCAAGCCUGAUCCAGCCAUACCGCGUGGGUGAAGAAGGCCUUCGGGUUGUAAAGCCCUUUUGUUGGGAAAGAAAAGCAGCAGGUUAAUACCCCGCUGUUCUGACGGUACCCAAAGAAUAAGCACCGGCUAACUUCGUG
rnacentral:rRNA from 1 species